CAGUAGCCGCGGGAAUACGUAGGUGGCAAGCGUUGUCCGGAAUUAUUGGGCGUAAAGGGCUCGCAGGCGGUUUCUUAAGUCUGAUGUGAAAGCCCCCGGCUCAACCGGGGAGGGUCGUUGGAAACUGGGAAACUUGAGUGCAGAAGAGGAGAGUGGAAUUCCACGUGUAGCGGUGAAAUGCGUAGAGAUGUGGAGGAACACCAGUGGCGAAGGCGACUCUCUGGUCUGUAACUGACGCUGAGGAGCGAAAGCGUGGGGAGCGAACAGGAUUAGAUACCCCAGUAGUCCCUGUCUCUUAUAC
rnacentral:rRNA from 1 species